AGUGCUCAAUGCUGACAACCUGAGCCACGUGCCGUGGGGACUGAGACGUUUGACACGAAAGAGGGAGGGGGACUCUCUCACACACAGGUAAGGAUGGAGUCAUUCAGCUCCAAGGAAAUGGCCAUGCAGGCCCAGAAGAAGAUCCUCAGCCACAUGGCCAACAAGUCUGUGGUCCAUAUGUUCAUAGACGACACCAGCAGUGAGAUUCUGGACGAGCUCUACCGUGUUUCCAAAGAGUAUUCAGGCAACCGCUCAGAGGCCCAGAAGGUGGUGAAGGACCUGAUCAAGAUAGCAGUGAAGAUUGGCGUGCUGUUCAGACACAACCGUUUCAGCCCAGAGGAGCUGAGUCUGGCCCAGGACUUCAAGAAGAAGCUACAUCAAGGAGCCAUGACAGCCAUCAGCUUCUAUGAGGUGGAGUUCACCUUUGACAAGACAGUAAUGUCGGAGAUCCUGACAGAAUGCAGAGAUCUGUUGUUGAAGCUAGUCGACUCCCACCUCACGCCCAAAUCCCAUGGUCGCAUCAACCACGUAUUCAACCAUUACUCCGAUCCAGAGCUUCUGACCCAGCUUUACAACCCUGAUGGAUCCUUUAAACCCAACCUCACCAAAAUCUGCACCGGCCUCAACCGUCUGCUGGAGGAGGGGACAUUAUGAGAGUUUUCUUGGUGCAUUUGGUGAUGGUGAGGGGCACUGCACCAAGUAUGGCUUGCUGAUGCAUUCUGGGAGAGGUGACGACCGUGGCACUGUUUGACCUUGUAAAUCGACGGUCUGUUGUCUUGCUGGUACAAGCUGCUUCCAAAGAUGUCAAACUGUGAUGGAAAACCCCAACAGGUGAAAUAAACAGAACCUUGACAAAAUCAAGUAUUGUAUGAAGAGCUAAGCACAUAACACAGUGUUGUCCAAACUAUGGGGUCACGAGAAAAAUGUAAAUACAUUUGUUUUAAAUUGCGGUUGCCACUUGAUGCAAUUAACAGAACGAUUUCUGUUUUCUUCCUACAAAUAUGUCUCCAUCUUUUGAACCGUUUAAGCUUCAAAAUGUUAUGACCCCAUCACUCAAAGACAAGACUUUGUUUCCUUCUAGAAUGACCACAAUGCUGCAUUGGAAUAAUUAUCAGAGUGGACAAGACCAGGAACUAAAUCAGACAUUUUUUAGACAGAAGAUCAUACGAAAAUAUUGCCUGAUCAUCUUCUGAACUUCCCAAUACCUUUCUGUUGCAUUUCUGUCACUUCAAACCAUACUUUCUUCAGAUUGAAAUACUGUCAAAAGUACUGUCUUAGUCACAAUUUUAAAAAAGAAACAUUGGCUGUUGAUUGGAUACCCUUUUUUACAUGGUGGGGUAGCACAUUUUUUUUCUUUUUCAAAAUGGGGUCAAGGGCCAAAUAAAAUUGGGAACCCUUGACAUAAUUACAUGCUACUGAUGUCAUGACAUCAUCACAUUGACACCCUACUCGUUUAGAUGGAUAUUAUCAUUUCAUCAGAGUUAAAGCUGCAGCAGUAUCUGUUCUAUGUGAGCUAUUUCUAUGCUUCCUUUUCUUAAGAUCGUUUUUGCAUAUUUUCUCUUUCGGUUUUGUACACCAUCUUCCAACAGUUGAAAACAAUAUUUUUGGUUAUGGAAAAGGCAUUUCACAGCAGUUUAGAUGGUACAUUGAUUCUCCACACUAUACUUGCUUGUUUUGUCACAAUCUGAAAUUAGGCAACCUAUUAGAUUUUUUGCAACUAGAAAAUGGUGGAGCGAUUUUGCAUAGUGCAUCAUAAACUAGACUGACCACUAGUUUGUGACAGGACAGAAUAAUACAAAGUGAUGAAGUUAUCUGGGUGAAUUUACCUUUUCUCUCCCUCUUGGCAUCUUUUCACAGCUGCUUGCUUGGUCUGGCUGAUCAUACGAUCCAUCCUUUUCAAGAAAUUCAUUGGAGAAAGUUCUGAUGUACCUUCUUCUUGUGUCUUUUCAGAAUUGUUCACUGGCUUCCCAUUUUGAGUAGAGACUUUUUUACUUGUACUGUCCUGUACCUUGCCGGAGUCCUCCUCAGUCACAUCUACCCCAAUAUUAGCAUCACUGUUGUAGUCUGACAGCACAGGGAUAGAAAUAUACUUCUUUAGGAAUAUUGAGUCAUUCGUGUACAGUCUAUUUGCUCUUUUGAUUUGUUCCAUCUGUUAAAAAGAUACAAUUGCAGAUGUGGGUUUAUGAAGGUAAACACAUUUAUCACCAUAGCAUAAGUCCACAAAUUGCCCAUUUAAAUUUUCAUGCAGUUAAAACUCCUCCUUGACAGGAUGUGUGCUGGGGCAACAUUUAAAAUACUCAAACAUUUUGGAAGAAUGGCAAUGCCAAUGUCUAACUACUCACAGAUACUCCAUAUUUCAACGCGAGUCCUUGCAACGUCUCUCCUGGCUGAACUCGGUGUUCAAUUCGUCUUUGUCGUACCGGAGAAAGGUUGGAUUGUACAAGACUGCCGUAUGACCUCGUGCGGUUAACGGGGAGUAGACCGGCUCCACCCGUUGAAAGAGGAGCCCGUUCCCCGUGGAACAUGGUUGAGCUUAUCUAGCCCCCCUCUUGACUUUCUAAAUCAGCAAUAACGUUAGCUAGCGUAAACCAGUUUGCGUUACUGGCUAUAGUAGUUACUAUAGUUUGCCAGCUAGCUAAAUUGCCUAUACAGUUAGAAAACCUGUAUCGUCGUUAUUGUAGAGAGGUGGUAGCUAGCUAAUAAUAACAUGAGUUUAAGUGCAUGUAGCUAGUUUACCUUAUCUCGUCGACUAGCUAGUUAGUUAGCUUCUAAACAAACUCUUGCCAUAGGAAAAAUGUAUUCAGUCAGCUGUCUAUUUCCAUGGCUGCCGUGGUAUGACCAAGUCCCACAAAUCCUCACUGAAAGCAGGAAGUAGCUAGAUUACAAACGGUUUUGAAGAUGUUUGGAAUAUCUAGCCAGCGAUUCGCAAAUAAGGACCUUACUAACAAAUAUAUUUAGCUAAACCUAUUAAUCUAAAUGUCGUUUAAAAGAGAGGGCAAUGAUCAGAGUCAAUCGAAUAUCCUCAAGGCGAGCCAUCUUAUUAGUUGUUACUUACACAGAAAUCAAUUUGUACUUUAGCUUGCUAGCUACAUGCGAAACGGGCACGUUUGUCAUUUUAACUAGCUAGUUAGUUAACAUAGCUAGCUAACGUUAAUUGAUUAUUUCCCAGAAACGGCGUGUUGCAGAACUCCUGUCCAAUUUCAUUCCAGAGGAUGAGGUAGCCUUGAUGAAAAAUGGAAGGUGGAGUACCUGUUGUGCCGAAAAUCACCCCCCUGACAGACCCAACGAGAGCAUACAGGUUGCAGUGCAGGAAGCCAUAUCAAAACCACCUGUGAAGGCUGAAUGUGCCAACACUAAUCCUUUCUGUGCCAGGGAUGAAGUGGUUUUAUGGAAAGAAAACUCGACUGAAAAAUGAGAUAUCUUAACGAAACCAUGAAAACUAUGUUCAAGCUGAAGAUAGCCGACAGGAACCCUCUAGUUCUGCCACCCUGUUGACACAGACACGUAAACUCACCCACCACGCCUUACUGAAGACUGUGCUAUACAACAUUUGGCACAAAAAGACCAGACUGUGACAUCAGCCCCUCCAGCACAAGACUAUCAUCACCACACCAAACGUCAGUGGACAAUGAUAAGACAUCAUGUCAUUACCCAGUUCCAACAGUAAUACACCAGUCAAUCAGGGAUCGUGUCUAAUUGGGAGAAAUAAGGAAGUGUGUAAGAAGGAGUCAGCCAACGGCGACACAGGAGUCGGAACCUAUGACAGCUCAAAGGAGGAGCAUUACCUUACAUUGAAACGUGCGGGACGGCUGCAGGACAGGAGUGACCCGUGGGUAAAGGAUGAGAAUGUGGAAUUUGAUUCAGAUGAAGAGGAACCCUCCCAUCCUCCCACUGACUCAGAGGGCUGACCAGAUGAGCAGCAGGGACCAGACCUCAACACCAGCACCUUCCCAAAAUCCCUAGCCCUUUCCUCAAACCCUGCUGCUGACACAAAAGUCCCAUACAUCUGUUGACUCAACAAUUAUGAAUGGCACUCUGUUGCAGUACUGACAACACUAGAAGAGCAGCACUAGAACAUCUUGAACUGCCUCCAUGCUUCCUUUGUUUACUCUAUCUCAGGGUAGACACAUUGGUGCUUGAGACAAUGCUUUGACUGUUGUCACCCUGCGAGGGGUGGGAAGGGGGACGAUUCUCAGCACCCUUUGUGUUAUUCCGUUCGCCCAUUUUAUUUAGGUCCAACACCUCCUGUUAAGGCUAAGCUGUGAGCUUACCAUAAAUCAUCAGCAGAUAGGACAAUAUUACUGCUAAUCUUGGUAGUGUAACCACCGGUUAACAUUCUUCAGAAGGUUCUUAUUUGUGGCUCACCCCUAGACCACUCUAUAUAUUGGAUAACACCCCCCCCCCCCCCCUAGAGAAAGCGAGCGUGCGGACGUAACGUGGGUUAGUUUAAAACGAUGACGUUAAAAUGUGUCAAACUUGAGUACCUGAUUAUUAUUUGUGAGCUCAUUGCGUGACUGCCACAAGGCGUUUGGAAUGUUUGUUGACUGCAUCGACACAGGAGCACAACUGUCUUGUGUGUCAUCAAGGCUGAUGAUGUUAUGGAGUUAAAUUGUCAAUGCAAUAAGUCAUGUUGACUCUAUCGUGUUACUUGUACUUUCAGAUGACUAAACAAAACAAUUGUCCUCCACUGCUAACAAUGUCUGUUUGAAUAACCCAGAUACAAGGGAGUAAAAUAAAGCACCACCUAACUUAGAA